rnacentral:rRNA from 1 species
AAAUUUGAGCGGUAGAUCACUCGAAUAGUGUAUCGAUGAAGAGUGGAAAAAAGGUGUGUAACAAUGUGGACUCCUUAACGCUUUGAAUAUCGACAUCUUGAACGCAUACUGCAGCUACUGCGAUAUCCGGUGGCCACGUUUGUUCAAGGGUCA